GGUCAUGAGCGCCAGCGCGAAGCCCCGGCUCGCUGGCCGGCAACCCUCCUCCGCGGUGGGGUGCCCCGGGUGAAGACCAGGCACCGGCAGCCGCCGGUGCAAGCGUGGCCU
rfam:Micromonospora aurantiaca ATCC 27029, complete genome.